AGGAAUUUACCAAAGCCAAGCCCUUUGACUCUGGGCCUAUCUAUUUCUUUGAUCAGUUGAAACCUGAACGGAAAGAUGGGAAAAGAUAACCUGUGAAGAAAGUUAUCCCACCCAAAAUGCACCUCAAGAGCUAAGUGUAGGUUGGAUCUUUCAACAUCCUUACUCAAAAUGGGAAAUUCUGAAGUGGAAGACAGUCCCCAGUAUAGCUGUGAAGAGACUACAAGUAGCCAUAAUUCAAAUGUAGGAAGCCCUCCAUAGUCUUUAUAAUCAUAGACUUUUAUAAAGCAUAUGGUUUGAUGGGCAAGAAGAAACGCAGAGCAUGUGGCCCCCCAGACAAGUCACCUUAUCACGAUACCUGCCUAUUGUAUCUGUAAUAUGAAAACAUAUAUACACAGCUGCACACACAAA
ensembl:lncRNA novel transcript